rnacentral:misc_RNA from 1 species
AAGUCGUAACAAGGUUUCCGUAGGUGAACCUGCGGAAGGAUCAUUAACACAACCCGAGUGAGACCGAGGCUCGUACCCCGAGCCUCGCGUCUUGCUUCUCUUAUCCAACCCGUGGUCUUGUUGAGAACCCUUGGGGUCCCGUCCCUGGGGGCUUAUCUGCUCAGUCGCUGAAUGCUGCUCACCCAGCAUGCCAGUGAGGACAACCCGCUUCGUGCCGCUUGUCUUCGUAUAGGCUGAGUGGCCCUUUUUCCUUUUCUUACUGCAUCACAUCCCUGUACUGAUUUCAUAUGUUCACGAAAGUGGACGUAUGCUUUAUUGGCCUCGCGUCAAUAAACCAAAAUACAACUCGUAACAACGGAUAUCUCGGCUAAC